rnacentral:rRNA from 1 species
UACAGAGGGGGCAAGCGUUGUUCGGAAUUACUGGGCGUAAAGGGCGCGCAGGCGGUCGUUCAAGUCGCGUGUGAAAGCCCCCGGCUCAACUGGGGAGGGUCACGCGAUACUGAUCGACUCGAAGGCAGGAGAGGGAAGUGGAAUUCCCGGUGUAGUGGUGAAAUGCGUAGAUAUCGGGAGGAACACCAGUGGCGAAGGCGACUUCCUGGCCUGUUCUUGACGCUGAGGCGCGAAAGCUAGGGGAGCAAACGGG